UACGUAGGGGGCAAGCGUUGUCCGGAAUUAUUGGGCGUAAAGCGCGCGCAGGCGGCUCUUUAAGUCUGGUGUUUAAGUGCGGGGCUCAACCCCGUGACGCACUGGAAACUGGAGGGCUUGAGUGCAGAAGAGGAGAGCGGAAUUCCACGUGUAGCGGUGAAAUGCGUAGAGAUGUGGAGGAACACCAGUGGCGAAGGCGGCUCUCUGGUCUGUAACUGACGCUGAGGCGCGAAAGCGUGGGGAGCAAACAGG
rnacentral:rRNA from 1 species